AUCUGCCCUUCACUCUGGGACAAGCCCUGGAAACGGGGUCUAAUACCGGAUAACACUUCCAUCCUCCUGGGUGGAGGUUAAAAGCUCCGGCGGUGAAGGAUGAGCCCGCGGCCUAUCAGCUUGUUGUGGAGGUAAUGGCUCACCAAGGCGACGACGGGUAGCCGGCCUGAGAGGGCGACCGGCCACACUGGGACUGAGACACGGCCCAGACUCCUACGGGAGGCAGCAGUGGGGAAUAUUGCACAAUGGGCGAAAGCCAGAGGCAGCGACGCCGCGUGAGGGAUGACGGCCUUCGGGUUGUAAACCUCUUUCAGCAGGGAAGAAGCGAAAGUGACGGUACCUGCAGAAGAAGCGCCGGCUAACUACGUGCCAGCAGCCGCGGUAAUACGUAGGGCGCAAGCGUUGUCCGGAAUUAUUGGGCGUAAAGAGCUCGUAGGCGGCUUGUCACGUCGGGUGUGAAAGCCCGGGGCUUAACCCCGGGUCUGCAUUCGAUACGGGCU
rnacentral:rRNA from 1 species